ACUGAUGUAUACACUCUAUACAAUCAUCUGAGAAAAACUCCAUUCCUCCACCAAGAACUUGAUGAGACUGGCUUUGUUGGCAGGGCUGCAGAGAAGUUUCCUCCACUGCUGAAUAUUGUGGCCAGAAACAAUGUUUCUGAACUGGAUCCCCAUGUCUGCACCUCUGUUUAGUCUUUCUGAAUUUUUGAUUGACAUGUCCUUGUAAACGUCAAAGACAACAUCAAUCUUUUCACUAUCACCACCUUCAUGCAGGACCUUGGCUAAAGUUGAGUCCAGCCAGCUUCCACCAUGUCAGGAUUGCGUAUUAAUGCAACCGAUUCGUGCCAACUACCAGGCUGCUAUCUGGAGACGGUCUCUUCAUACCAAGCCAUCUGUACCAAGCCCCAAGGACCAUGGGUGGACCAUAAAUGACGAAGGGCAGCUGGAAAUACAGUGGAUGCGUGGUUCCCCAGCACCAGAUGCGGUCUUGCAGUUGCUAUCCUGCAAGUGUGUGAGGACAUGCAAACCACCAGACUGCACCUGUCUCAGCAAUGGGCUGAAGUGCACAAACCUGUGCAAAUUACAAACUUGUGCCAACCAAUACAGUGAGGAAGAGCCCCUUGCACACCGGCAGAUUCAGAUGUAGAAGAAGAUACAGAUACUGAUGUCGAUUACUGAUGUUGAUUAAUAAGUGAUGACCAAAAGGAUUUAUGUUAACAGACCCACUGUGACUCAGUGACAGUAUUAUGUACUAAGCCAAACCUUGACAGUCAUAUUUGCUGUCACUGUUCCUUAUGGAAAGAAUAGGACUUUGAAUAGGAAUUUGAGUUUUUCUCAGAUGAUUGUAUAGAGUGUAUACAUCAGUAGAUCUUAUUUUGUUGCUAAUGUCUUCUUGCCCUGCACCAGCCAGGAUGAUUGUAUAUUGAGUUCCUGCAUUGAAAAUAUGUCAGUGUCAUAUUAAUCCUUAUAUCCUUAAUUUAGACCUUGAUUUAGACCUGACAAUUGGCUAAUUGAAGCUUAUAUAUACACACCUGUAUUAGAUAAAUUACUUGAAAUACUACUUAGG
rnacentral:lncRNA from 1 species